rnacentral:rRNA from 1 species
UACGGAGGAUCCAAGCGUUAUCCGGAAUCAUUGGGUUUAAAGGGUCCGUAGGCGGGUUAUUAAGUCAGUGGUGAAAGUUUUCGGCUUAACCGAAAAAUUGCCAUUGAUACUGGUAGUCUUGAAUUAUUGUGAAGUAACUAGAAUAUGUAGUGUAGCGGUGAAAUGCUUAGAUAUUACUUAGAACACCAAUUGCGAAGGCAGGUUACCAUGAUUUAACUGACGCUGAGGGACGAAAGCGUGGGUAGCGAACAGG